AGAGUAGGGAUAACGCGUUAAGUGCCUGUAUACGGAACGUUGAUAUAGGACGAAGAGGAAUCGCGGUGUUAUCUCGCGUUCGCUG
rnacentral:ncRNA from 1 species